rnacentral:lncRNA from 1 species
UUGAGACACGAAGCGUGAGCUCAAUUGGCGGGGAGGUUCGUACCUAGUGUUUUGCUUCGUGGAGAAGCACCCUCACUUGUUGUGGGACCGGAUGGGUCGUUUCGACUACAUGUCGACUAUCGUGAUCUAAAUUGAAUCACGAUUGGGUGUUUGGACCGUUGUUGAGGCUCAUUGAUCUUCUUAAUUAGCCUUGAGCUAUAAGGGUACUCGAUAAGAUUAUGAUGCAAUCUGAGUACUAUCGUAUGAGUUAGAGUUUGAGGCUGUACCUCAAACGGAUUUUGAUGUUGGGGUGGGACAUCACGAGAAUUAUUGUGAUAUUGCCUAAGCCCGUGGUACUCCACCAGUGUUAGGGACUUGCUGAAUGAUAAUUCUAAGACCUCUGGAUGGAUUUGUGGAGUCGGUCGCUGGUGGCCACGACCAUUCCGAUGAAGAUUUGCGAGGAUCGACUGCAGAGGCAGAUUGUCGUGAUCGAGGUGUGAAACUCUCGCUGUUGGAUCGAGUGGUUGAAAAACUCGAGAAGGAAAAGUACCAAGUUGUUAUUUUUCCUUGUCCGGUUUAUGCACCAGGAAUCCAGAUCUUGGAAUUGGGAACUGCGUGAAAGAGCUGUUUGGAUGGACGUUUGGCUGCUGGUCACGUUAUGGUGACGUUAAUAGAAAGCUAUUUUUGAAUUGUAGAUGGAAUCCUCUCUAUCA